GUGAUAUGUCACAGACAAAAUUGCUUACCUUAAGCUGAGGAUUAUUUUAAGAAUCUGUUUCAAUUUUAUUUAUUUUUUAAGCCAAGAAUUUCCAGUUUUUAUUUCUAUAACAUGACUUAACAAGAAAAACAUUCCCCCAAUUUUUUAAAAAUUAGGUUGGAUUAAUUUACAAUAUAUGAAUCAACUUAAAAUAUCAGCCCUUUUAUUUAGAGCCAAGGAUGCUAUUUUAACAGCAGAAUUGCACCAUUGAUACUUUUACCUAUAUUUGAUGGCACAGAUAUGCAAAAGUCAUACGACUUCCACUGACACCCUCUCCUCCCUCCAGAGUAGCAUUCACGUAAUUUAUCUUAGGUCAGUUACAAGUUAUAUGUAAGAAAUGGUUAAGUGGGCUGGGCAUGGUUGGUGGCCCAUGCUUGUAAUCCCAGCACUUUGGGAGGCCUGGUGGGGGGUGUUAGGUGGGGGGAAUCGCUUUGAGCCUAGGAGGUCAAGGCUGCAGUGAGCUAUGAUUGCCCCACUGCACUCCAGCCUGGGCACCAGCAUGAGACCCUGUCUAUAAAAGGGAAGGGGAAGGGGUGGGGCAGGGGAAGGGAGAGGAAGAAAGGAAGGAGAGAAAGAAAAGGGAGAAAGAGAGGGAAAGAAGAAGGGAGGGAGGGAGGAAAGAAGGAAAAAAGGAAGGAAGGAAAGAAAGAGAGGAGGGAAGGAGGGAGGGAGGGAGGAGAGAGGAAAGAGAGAAAGAGGAGCGAAGGAGGGAGGAAGGAAGGAAGGAGAGAGAGGAAAGAGAAAGAGGAGGGAAGGAGGGAGGAAGGGAGGGAAGGAAGGAAAGAGAGGAAAGAGGGGAGGAACGGAAGGAGGGAAAGAGGGAAGGAAGGAGGGAGGGAAGGAGGGAGGGAGGAAGGAAGGAAGGAAGGAAGCUAAGCAAUAUAACCCUGUGGCAACAUUUGUAAAAGUGACUCUGAGAAGACAGAAAGAUCCUCUAUGAGAGACUGGUGUCCCCAGGAAUUGGCGAGGCCUGCUGAGGAUCAUUUGGGUAAAUGUCAUGGUCACGCGGCCCCAUUCUCUUCGCUGAGCUCCGGAUUUCCGUAGCCAAUUGUCUGCUGGACAUUCCUCCCUGAUACAUCUCACAGGAUUUUUAUGUGUAUGGUCAUUUCAAGUGAAUUUUGUAUACAGAGCAAGGCGAUUACUUUAAAACAUGAAAGAAAUUGCACCUUUUCCUUAAGGGCAAGAUGGUGCUGUGGGCUUUCCUCUCUCCUGAUGAGAUGAUGCAAAUGGACUCCAUAGAGAAACGCUGCCCGUGUAACAAUGCAGUUACGCAACCCGGUGCAUGACACAUGAAUUGCAGCGCACCUGAGAUCCUGAUGAAAUCCUGGGAGCCUGGAGCUGUCAAACAUGGUUUUAAAAAAUAAAGGGAAUACACCCAGCCCACACCCUGACUUUACAACCUUUAAUUAAUUAGAGGAAAGAAAGAGAGAUUUGUCUGGUUUCAUGACUUCAACUUUCCACCUGGAAUAUGAAGCUCCUGCUCUUCCCACCUCCUUUUCUUCUCUCUCUCUCUCUCAGGUUUUUAAAUUUCUAUUUCCAGUUCUGCCACCAAAAAUAGAUUGCAAAUAUAUUCUGCAUAAUUCCGAGGCUACACUAUAAAUGUUGGAGUGCUACUACUUGUAUAAUAGUCACAAAUGAACGCACGAGUGGGCAC
rnacentral:lncRNA from 10 species